CAGAGUCAGGGCACUGAUCAUUUUGUGCUUCUCCAGGUUCAAAGAAAGGAGACAGACUUAUUCCUACUUUCUCUACUGCAAGGUAUCCCUGAUCGUGCAAGAGAUCAGCGAUCAUGAAGCUGUGCCACAUCUCAGCUUGUAGGGCUGGAUUUUAAUUUCGCCUUUUAACUCCACUAGUGAGGAUUUUGCUUGCUGAGACACUGGAAACAUCCCUCUUAUUCUACGCUUGCUGCAUAGCCCGCUUUGGCCGCCCACGGACACUAGAGAGAGAAACUACAAGUCCCAUGAAGCUCUGGACUCGCCGGAGGCAUCACGGCUCCCCCUAGCGGCGGCUUUCGGUCCCUGCGCUUUAAAUCCAAGCAGGAGCCCGGCGGGGAGCGGGGCUCGAGCUGGCAGUCGGGAGCAGCGUUGCUGCUGUAGAGAUCCAGGGACCUGGGCUAGGACGGUGGAGGCGGAGGGCGAGCCAGCCCCCCUGGCCGCGGAAGGGUGGGUGGGGACAGCCCCCCAUGCGGGUUCGGGGGUCGAUCCCCACCAGUAGAUCCUUUGCAAAGCAAGCGGGGGAGAAGGAGGCGGUUGCAUUGCAAGCCUAGAAGGUGAGAACCAGGCAGAGCUGCAAGCAUGGGGAACCGCGGGAUGGAAGACCUCAUCCCCCUGGUGAACAAGCUCCAGGAUGCCUUCGCAGCCAUCGGCCAGAAUGCCAACUUGGACCUGCCCCAGAUUGCUGUGGUCGGGGGGCAGAGCGCCGGCAAGAGCUCCGUGCUGGAGAAUUUCGUGGGAAGGGACUUCCUGCCUCGUGGUUCUGGCAUUGUCACAAGACGCCCACUGGUCCUGCAGCUGGGAAACUCCAACACAGAAUAUGGCGAAUUUCUGCACUGCAAAGGAAAAAAAUUCACUGACUUCGAAGAGAUACGUAUGGAAAUCGAGGCAGAGACGGACAGGGUUACUGGCUCCAACAAGGGGAUUUCUCCUGUACCCAUCAGCCUCCGAGUCUACUCUCCCCAUGUCCUGAAUCUGACACUGGUGGACCUGCCAGGGAUGACAAAAGUCCCAGUGGGGGACCAGCCACCUGACAUUGAGUUCCAGAUCCGGGAUAUGUUAAUGCAGUUCGUUACCAAAGAGAACUGCCUGAUCUUGGCUGUAUCCCCAGCCAACUCUGAUCUGGCCAACUCUGAUGCUCUGAAGAUUGCAAAGGAGGUGGACCCCCAAGGCCAACGCACCAUUGGAGUCAUCACCAAACUGGACCUUAUGGAUGAAGGAACUGAUGCACGAGAUGUUCUAGAAAACAAGCUACUUCCCCUUCGAAGAGGUUAUAUUGGUGUGGUCAACAGAAGCCAGAAAGAUAUUGAUGGCAAGAAGGACAUUCAGGCUGCACUAGCUGCAGAGAGGAAGUUCUUCCUUUCACACCCAUCCUACAGGCACAUGGCUGAUCGCAUGGGCACUCCCUACCUGCAGAAAAUAUUGAACCAGCAACUGACCAAUCACAUCCGGGACACCCUCCCAGGGUUGCGGAACAAACUCCAGAGCCAGCUUCUGUCCAUUGAGAAAGAAGUGGAUGAGUACAAGAACUUCCGUCCCGAUGACCCUGCUCGAAAGACCAAAGCUCUGCUUCAGAUGGUCCAGCAAUUUGCCGUGGACUUUGAGAAACGCAUUGAAGGAUCCGGAGACCAGAUUGAUACCUAUGAGCUGUCUGGAGGAGCUAGGAUCAACCGCAUCUUCCAUGAGCGGUUCCCGUUUGAACUGGUGAAGAUGGAGUUUGAUGAGAAGGAGCUGCGACGGGAGAUCAGCUAUGCUAUCAAGAACAUCCAUGGUAUCAGAACCGGUCUCUUCACACCUGACAUGGCCUUUGAGACCAUUGUGAAAAAGCAGGUGAAGAAGAUUAAAGAGCCUUGCCUGAAAUGCGUGGAUAUGGUCAUUUCGGAGUUAAUCAAUACUGUUAGACAGUGCACCAAGAAGCUCAGUCAGUACCCUCACUUGCGGGAGGAGAUGGAACGAAUUGUUACUACCCACAUUCGAGAGCGAGAAGGCAAGACAAAGAAUCAGGUCAUGCUCCUGAUAGACAUUGAGUUGGCAUACAUGAACACAAACCAUGAGGAUUUCAUUGGCUUUGCCAAUGCUCAGCAGAGGAGUAGCCAGAUGAGCAAGAAGAAGGCAGCUGGCAACCAGGUGAUCCGAAAGGGCUGGCUCACCAUCAACAACAUUGGGAUCAUGAAGGGCGGCUCCAAGGAGUACUGGUUUGUCCUGACUGCUGAGAACCUCUCAUGGUAUAAGGACGAUGAGGAGAAGGAGAAGAAAUACAUGCUGCCAGUGGAUAACCUGAAGCUGCGGGAUGUUGAGAAAGGUUUCAUGUCCAGCAAACAUAUCUUUGCUCUCUUCAACACUGAGCAGAGGAACGUUUACAAAGACUAUCGGCAGCUGGAGCUGGCCUGCGAGACCCAGGAGGAGGUUGACAGCUGGAAAGCUUCCUUCUUGCGUGCAGGAGUUUACCCAGAGCGUGUUGGGGACAAAGACAAAGCAAAUGAAACGGAAGAAAAUGGAUCAGACAGCUUCAUGCACUCCAUGGACCCUCAACUGGAGAGACAAGUGGAAACCAUCAGAAACUUGGUGGACUCUUACAUGGGAAUUGUCAACAAAACCAUCCGAGACCUCAUGCCUAAGACCAUUAUGCAUCUCAUGAUAAACAACACCAAGGAUUUUAUCCACUCAGAGUUAUUGGCAAACCUAUAUUCUUGUGGAGAUCAAAACACCCUCAUGGAAGAGUCAGCAGAGCAGGCCCAGCGGCGUGAUGAGAUGCUGCGCAUGUACCAUGCCCUGAAGGAGGCGCUUAACAUCAUAGGGGACAUUAACACCACCACCAUCAGCACCCCGAUGCCUCCGCCGGUGGACGACUCCUGGCUGCAGGUCUCCUACGUCCAGCCCUACACCACAGAGGAGAGCUCCCGCUGUUCCACCAGCCAGACCUUUGUCUCGAGGCCCGGCUCCUGGACCUCCUCCUGCUGGUGGAUCCGCACUGGGUGGUGCUCCCCCUGUGCCCUCCAGGCCAGGUGCCUCCCCUGAUCCUUUUGGGCCCCCACCUCAGGUUCCAUCUAGGCCCAACCGUGCUCCUCCUGGUGUCCCCAGCCGGCCGGGCAAGGCCAGUCCCUCCCGCCCAGAGAGUCCAAAACCACCAUUUGACAUGUAGCCCUGCUCCCUCUGAGACUCUCUGCCUGCCUCUUAGCUGUUCUGUCCUGGAAUGGUCUGACUUGCAUCUCACACACGGCUUGUUCUGUUGUAUUUUGUGACAUACACAUAUCAGCUGUGACUCUAGUGAAACCUGUUUUUUUCCUUCCAGUUGCUUAAAGGAAUAAAAACAAGUAUAUUGUAGUAAUGAGAAACAUAUCCUUACUGUUAUAUAAAUAUCUAUAAAUAUAUAUAUAUAUAUAAGAUCAAAAUCUAUAAUGUUCAGGUGUUUUAAGCCAUUUGUGCUUCCAUGUGGAAUUUAGGAAAUACUUAAGUAGGUUCAAAUCUCUCUCUCUCUCUCUCUCUCUCUAUACACACCCACACACACCCAGCAAAUUAACUGAAUCCUGAUAUUGAGUUUUUGAGCUGAUUGUUAAAUUCUCUGCUGUGUACAGUUGGGUUAUUGUAUUGCCCCAGACUUGUGGGUGAGCUGUCUCAGUGCUGGUAGUAACUGUGAUGCACUUUGUGAUCUACCUGUCACUCUUCUUUACUGGCUGAAAUAAACUCUCAUUUCUGUAUAAUGAAGGAUUCCACAACUAGAAUAAAAACAGUCUCUGUCUGUGGGCGUGUUCAGGAUUUAUGUGAAUUAUAACAUUUUAAUCCUUUGUCCCAAAGAGGUGGGUUUUUGUGGGGGGCGGGAGGUUAAUAAGUAAGUCGCACACGAAUGGGUGUUCUCACUUAAAAACAGCUUGUCUAACUCUACUAUAGUUGAUCCAAUAAAAGAUGUGCUAAAAAUGACUUGAGGGAGCAGAAAGGGGCUGACGUCAUGCUAUACAGAGGAAAUGGCGGUCAGAGAACACUUCUAAGUAAAGGGUUUCUCAACAAGGAAACUAAUCAUCAGGGAUUCUGUCCUCCCCAAGCAUGUUAAUGCACAGAGUUUCUGGUAAGAGCAUCACACACUAAACAACCUCAUUCUUUUUCAAACAGCUGAGUAUUCCUACUUGCAGGAUCUAGCACAAGUUGCUGAAUGCUUCUUGCUCUUGAGGAUAAAAAAAAGAGACCAGCCUCCCACUACACACUGCUGCAUCUGACCACCAGAGGUGUAGCAAACAUGACUCUCAGGCAGAGUUCUGAGCACUUGUCUAAUUCUGCAUUGAGGCAAUUUUUUUUUAGCUAUUUAGACAAAGUGGUCAUUAAAACAGGGUUUGGGUUUGGAUUUUUUUUUUUAUUCCAACUGAACAAGAGCAUGGAUAUCAUCUGGAUGGCCUGUAGGAAUAAGAGCUGCCUCACAUGUCUUUACUGAAAGGGCAUCACACCAAGCACAGUUGGCUGUCUAACAAUGGGGGUGCCAUUAUAGUGUGCCUAUGCAACCUGUUGUCAGGUCUAGAUUGACAUAGCUCUAGUACCUACUCUUUCAUUCAGUGCCCUAUGGCUUAGUGAGAACACUUCUAAUCCAAAAGCAUCGCUCUGAUUUUUAGAGAUGGCUGAAACUAUUGUUGCUUUAUGACAUCUAGGGUAAAGCACUGACAUCAGUAUUUGCGGGGAAAAAAGAGCUUCCCUAGGUUCUGCUCUGCUUAUCUUCUGUAUAUAUAGACUGGAUAGUGGGCUUUGCAGGCUAAACUGGCUGGAAGUUCUGUUUAUCUCAAGCUUGAAUAAACUAAAUCUGCAGAGCAGUUAGCAUUUUCGAAAUCUGCAUCAGUCAAAGCAGUAACGGCCAACAAAUUAUAGCAGUAUAGGCUUUUGUACUAUUAGUAUAUCUGACCAAGCAAUAGUUAUGAUCCUACAUGCAUUUAAUCAGACUUGCUCAGGUCAGAGAGUCACUUAAAAGAAAUAAUAAGUUCCUUUCCUUGGAUAGAAGACUGCUGAAGGCUAGACCCAAGGGACCGAGUGCUGAACGGUUAGUCCCUCCCAAGAGGGGUGCAAUACUUGCAUUUUCCCCUACUGACUAUGGAUUGCUCUCUAUACUUUUCGGGAGGUCAGUAGUUUGUAGAGCUAAGCUACAGUUUCUUAAAACCAGAGUUCGGUUCAUGCCAAAAUCUACUAGUAAUCAUGGACAUUUUUCACUUGAACUGCAAGUCAAACUCUAGCUUGGAGGAGGCACAGACUACCAGAGCAGCAACAAACAAUGCCUUAUACAACAUUAACUUAAUAAUGCGAUGGAAAACUGUAUUCUUUCUAUGUCUGUGGAUGAAGGGAUAGGCAGAGGAGGGA